CCUACGGGUGGCAGCAGUGAGGAAUAUUGGUCAAUGGGCGGGAGCCUGAACCAGCCAAGCCGCGUGAAGGAAGAAGGCGCCAAGCGUCGUAAACUUCUUUUGUCUGGGAACAAAGGGCGCCACGUGUGGCGCGGUGAGUGUACCCGAAGAAAAAGCAUCGGCUAACUCCGUGCCAGCAGCCGCGGGAAUACGGAGGAUGCGGGCGUGAUCCGGAUUUAUGGGGUUUAUAGGGUGCGAAGGCGGUACGGAAAGUCAGCGGUAAAAGCCCGGGGCUCACCCGCGGAGAGCAGUUGAAACUGUGGGACUAGAGACGGCGAGAAGUACGCGGAAUGCGCGGUGUAGCGGUGAAAUGCAUAGAUAUCGCGCAGAACUCCGAUGGCGAAGGCAGGGGACCGGCGCCGGACUGACGCUGAGGCACGAAAGCGUGGGUAUCGAACAGGAUUAGAUACCCGAGUAGUC
rnacentral:rRNA from 1 species